rfam:Betaproteobacteria bacterium RIFCSPLOWO2_12_FTLL_64_23 rifcsplowo2_12_scaffold_8706, whole genome shotgun sequence.
GGGUCGUUAGCUCAGCCGGUAGAGCAGCGGACUUUUAAUCCGUUGGUCGCCAGUUCGAAUCUGGCACGGCCUA